GGAACCUGGUUGAUCCUGCCAGUAGUCAUAUGCUUGUCUCAAAGAUUAAGCCAUGCAUCUAUAAGAUCAAGCGUUAUAUCGCUAAUCUGGAAAAAGCUCAUUACAACAGCUAUCAUUUAUUUGAUGAUUAACUUACUACAUGGAUAACCGUAGUAAUUCUAGAGCUAAUACAUGCGCAAAGUCCCGACUUUCUC
rnacentral:rRNA from 1 species